UCACAAUGGAUUAACAAUCUUAAUUUCAAGCUUUCUGUAAACUCUGACAACUUCCAAAUUCUAAGGAAAACAUGUGCCAUGUUUAUUUGAGACCUUUAAUGAGCUAUCUACAGAGAUCACAUCAGGGUUCACAAUGACUAAAGGCCUAGACUAGUAUCAAUAGUGCACAUGAAAAGGAUUAAAACAGUUUUGCACGUUGAAUGAAAGUACAUAAUUGUAUAUUUGCCGUUACCACCACAUGCAUCUAAGUUUUAACAAGAAAAUGAAUCCUUCAAAUAAAAGGCAAGAAAAUUGAAACAGAGAAUAAAAACCUAGCCACAAAAGGUGCAGCUUGGCUAGCUGAGUCAAAAACUUCACGCAAAGGUUGCUCACUUUCUCCAUGGUAUUGUUUCACAACUUCAGAUCCAUUGACAGAGAAAAAUUCAUAAUCGAGCCAAAUAAGUCUUUC
rnacentral:lncRNA from 1 species